GAGCCCUAAAUUGCGGUUUUGUCUAGACUGCUUGAAGCCGCUUGAAGGAGAAGGAGAAGGAGAAGGAGAAGGAAGCAACUGAUGAAGAAUCGCCCUUUGAAAAUCGUGAGGAACCCUAAGUGUGAUUGAAGCAGUUUGAAGGAGAAGGGAGAAGGGAGAAGGAGAAGGAAGCAACUGGUCGCUGAAUCGCCUUUGAAAAUCGUGAGGAGCCCUUCAAGUUCUUACGAUUUGGUGCCCAUACUCUGCAGGCGAUCCUUAGUUCAGUUCUCCUCAGAGCUGCUCCACAAGGGUCCUCCAGACUUCAGAAUCACAAAACACAGAACUAAGCAAAGCGAGAAAGAGACACUCACAGAGAGAGAGAGAGAGGGAGAGAAAGACAGAAAUCAAAUCUCUCCCAUACAAUGGGGUGAAAGGGAGGAAGCAGCUGUUCUCAUAGCUGCGUGUAGGAACUCCGAGACCAAUUCUUGAUUUUAUGGCAAUUUUGACGAGUUUGAAAACAGAGGAAGGAGUUGUAGUUGUCGUAUAAUUUCUGAACUUGUUCUCUGUUGAUCAGGCACAAGGACUAAGAGAUUAUAUUUCUCUUUUCACUUCCAAAUCGGUUGUUUUAAAUCCAGUCAAGUUUGAUUCUGGCUUGGAUCUCUUACUUGAGCUUUUGUAAUUUGUACAAGGAUCUUGUGUGAGGUUUUUUUUUUUUUUUUUGGUGAUUUUGGGAGGGUGGUCUUGAGCAAUGUUCUUGUUCAUGAGAUUCCUAUCUUCAAUCGGCUUCGAUCUUGGUUUUUUUUUUUACGUUAGACGAUUGAUGUGGAGAAAUCUUUGCUUCAAUUGGCUUCAAUCUUCAAUGGGUUUUGAUUUGCAGUUUGUGUUUUUUGUUUUUUGGUGGGUUACACAAUCCACACGACCUUUGCGAAAUGAUUCGCAGAUGAGGACAUUUUAUAUUAGUCCCACAACCAGUGCAAUCCUUGGGAUUAGUCACUGCAGUUAAGUUUGGAACUCUGUACAGACAAGCUAGUGAAUGUGAAAAAACAAUAGGACAAAGAGGUUUAAAUGGGAUGUUGCUCUAAUGCAUGUUAUUAAACCCUUUUUGUGGGCUGGAGCA